rnacentral:rRNA from 1 species
GCUCCAAUAGCGUAUAUUAAAGUUGCUGCGGUUAAAAAGCUCGUAGUUGGACCUCAGUUACGGGCAGGUGGUUCACCUCACGGUGCUACUACCUGUCCGGACCUAUUUCUGGUACCUCCGGAGUGCCUUCACCGGGUGCUUCGGGAGACCAGAGUGUUUACUUUGAAAAAAUUGGAGUGCUCAAAGCAGGCGAUUGCCUG